rnacentral:rRNA from 1 species
GUCGAGGGGUAGAAGUCUUCGGACUUUGAGACCGGCGCACGGGUGCGUAACGCGUAUGCAAUCUACCUUUUACAGAGGGAUAGCCCAGAGAAAUUUGGAUUAAUACCUCAUAGUAUUAUGAAAUGGCAUCAUUUUAUAAUUAAAGUCACAACGGUAAAAGAUGAGCAUGCGUCCCAUUAGCUAGUUGGUAAGGUAACGGCUUACCAAGGCUACGAUGGGUAGGGGUCCUGAGAGGGAGAUCCCCCACACUGGUACUGAGACACGGACCAGACUCCUACGGGAGGCAGCAGUGAGGAAUAUUGGACAAUGGGCGCAAGCCUGAUCCAGCCAUGCCGCGUGCAGGAUGACGGUCCUAUGGAUUGUAAACUGCUUUUAUACGAGAAGAAACACUCCUUCGUGAAGGAGCUUGACGGUAUCGUAAGAAUAAGGAUCGGCUAACUCCGUGCCAGCAGCCGCGGUAAUACGGAGGAUCCAAGCGUUAUCCGGAAUCAUUGGGUUUAAAGGGUCCGUAGGCGGUUUAAUAAGUCAGUGGUGAAAGCCCAUCGCUCAACGGUGGAACGGCCAUUGAUACUGUUAAACUUGAAUUAUUAGGAAGUAACUAGAAUAUGUAGUGUAGCGGUGAAAUGCUUAGAGAUUACAUGGGAAUACCAAUUGCGAAAGGCAGGUUACUACUAAUGGAUUGACGCUGAUGG